rnacentral:rRNA from 1 species
ACUCCUACGGGAGGCAGCAGUGAGGAAUUUUCCGCAAUGGGCGAAAGCCUGACGGAGCAAUGCCGCGUGAAGGAAGAAGGUCUGUGGAUUGUAAACUUCUUUUAUCAGAGAAGAAUAAAGACGGUAUCUGAUGAAUAAGCUCCGGCUAACUCUGUGCCAGCAGCCGCGGUAAUAC